UACAGAGGGGGCAAGCGUUGUUCGGAAUUACUGGGCGUAAAGGGCGCGUAGGCGGCCUUCUAAGUCGAACGUGAAAUCCCCGGGCUCAACCCGGGAACUGCGUCCGAUACUGGAAGGCUUGAAUCCGGGAGAGGGAUGCGGAAUUCCAGGUGUAGCGGUGAAAUGCGUAGAUAUCUGGAGGAAUACCGGUGGCGAAGGCGGCAUCCUGGACCGAGAUUGACACUGAUGAGCGAAAGCUAGGGGAGCAAACGGG
rnacentral:rRNA from 1 species